UAAACUAGGAUUAGAUACCCUAUUAUUUUAAAUGUUAAUUUUUGGCCUGGGUAUUAUUAGUUAUUUUCUCUAAACCUAAAGAAUUUGGCGGUGUUUCAGUCUAUUUAGAGGAAUUUGCUUCAUAAUCGAUAAUCCCCGUUUUAUCUUUCUUAAUUUUAUAGUAUGUAUAUCGCUGUUAUAAGUUUAUUUUUUUAGAAUAUAAAUUUACUUUAUUUAUAAAUUUAAUUUAUUUCA
rnacentral:rRNA from 1 species